AGUGAACGCUGGCGGUAGGCCUAACACAUGCAAGUCGAACGGCAGCACAGUAAGAGCUUGCUCUUACGGGUGGCGAGUGGCGGACGAGUGAGGAAUACAUCGGAAUCUACUUUUUCGUGGGGGAUAACGUAGGGAAACUUACGCUAAUACCGCAUGCGACCUACGGGUGAAAGCAGGGGAUCUUCGGACCUUGCGCGAUUGAAUGAGCCGAUGUCGGAUUAGCUAGUUGGCGGGGUAAAGGCCCACCAAGGCGACGAUCCGUAGCUGGUCUGAGAGGAUGAUCAGCCACACUGGAACUGAGACACGGUCCAGACUCCUACGGGAGGCAGCAGUGGGGAAUAUUGGACAAUGGGCGCAAGCCUGAUCCAGCCAUACCGCGUGGGUGAAGAAGGCCUUCGGGUUGUAAAGCCCUUUUGUUGGGAAAGAAAAGCAGCAGGUUAAUACCCCGCUGUUCUGACGGUACCCAAAGAAUAAGCACCGGCUAACUUCGUG
rnacentral:rRNA from 1 species